rnacentral:rRNA from 1 species
AGAGUUUGAUCCUGGCUCAGAACGAACGCUGGCGGCAUGCCUAACACAUGCAAGUCGAACGAGACCUUCGGGGUCUAGUGGCGCACGGGUGCGUAACGCGUGGGAACCUGCCUUUAGGUUCGGAAUAACUCUGAGAAAUUUGAGCUAAUACCGGAUAAUGUCUUCGGACCAAAGAUUUAUCGCCUUUAGAUGGGCCCGCGUAAGAUUAGCUAGUUGGUGGGGUAAAGGCCUACCAAGGCGACGAUCUUUAGCUGGUCUGAGAGGAUGAUCAGCCACACUGGGACUGAGACACGGCCCAGACUCCUACGGGAGGCAGCAGUGGGGAAUAUUGGACAAUGGGCGAAAGCCUGAUCCAGCAAUGCCGCGUGAGUGAUGAAGGCCUUAGGGUUGUAAAGCUCUUUUACCCGAGAUGAUAAUGACAGUAUCGGGAGAAUAAGCUCCGGCUAACUCCGUG